UCGACCUUAGUUGCCAGCAUUCAGUUGGGCACGUCUAAGGUGACUGCCGGCUAAAGUCGGAGGAAGGUGGGGAUGACGGUCAAAUCAUCAUGCCCUUAUGACCUGGGCUACACACGUGCUACAAUGGGCGGUACAAAGGGUCGCGAACCGCAGGGGGAGCCAAUCCCAAAAAGCCGCUCUCAGUUCGGAUUGCAGGCUGCAACUCGCCUGCAUGAAGCCGGAAUCGCUAGUAAUCGCGGAUCAGCAUGCCGCGGUGAAUACGUUCCCGGGCCUU
rnacentral:rRNA from 1 species